CUUUCUUAUGGAAGGCAAGAAACAGCCUUCUCCUGAAAUUAAGUAUUUUACUGCAAACCAAUAUCUUUGUCGUUAUUCUAUUGUGUAGAUUUUCCUGUGGUUCCUGAAAGGUGGAUGUAUUGCUAAACUGAAAACGUUCAAUAACAGCACAGUGUCUGCCACACCCAGCGAUCUGAUUUGGAUGGAUUCUCAUGUUCAAUGCUAUCAAGUGUGUUCAUCUUGCAGCACAUGUCCUUUGUACCUCAGUAUUGCUAAUCAGAUCACAGAGGGAGAAACAGCUGUCCUAGAAGUUCUCAUAUGA
rnacentral:lncRNA from 1 species